rnacentral:rRNA from 1 species
AGAGUUUGAUCCUGGCUGAGAACGUACGCUGGCGGCACGCCUAACACAUGCAAGUCGAACGCAGUAGCAAUACUGAGUGGCAAACGGGUGAGUAUAAUGUGGGAAUCUGCCUUUUGGUCUGGAAUAACACGGGGAAACUUGUGCUAAUACCGGAUAAGCCCUUACGGGGAAAGUUUUAAUGCCGAAAGAUGAGCCUGCACUUGAUUAGCUAGUUGGUAAGGUAAAAGCUUACCAAGGCAACGAUCAAUAGCUGUUCUUAGAGGAAGACCAGCCACAUUGGGACUGAGACACGGCCCAGACUCCUACGGGAGGCAGCAGUGGGGAAUCUUGCACAAUGGGGGAAACCCUGAUGCAGCGAUGCCGCGUGAGUGAAGAAGGCCUUUGGGUUGUAAAACUCUUUCGUCGGGGAAGAAAAUGACUGUACCCGAAUAAGAAGGUCCGGCUAACUUCGUGCCAGCAGCCGCGGUAAUACGAAGGGACCUAGCGUAGUUCGGAAUUACUGGGCUUAAAGAGCUCGUAGGUGGUUAAAAAAGUUGAUGGUGAAAUCCCAAGGCUCAACCUUGGAACUGCCAUCAAAACUUUUUAGCUAGAGUGUGAUAGAGGUAAGUGGAAUUUCUAGUGUAGAGGUGAAAUUCGUAGAUAUUAGAAAGAACACCAAAUGCGAAAGCAACUUACUGGGUCACUACUGACAC